UACGUAGGGGGCAAGCGUUGUCCGGAUUUAUUGGGCGUAAAGAGCGUGUAGGCGGCCAAGCAGGUCAGCUGUGAAAACUCGAGGCUCAACCUCGAGACGCCGAUGGAAACCCUCGAACUAGAGUCCGGAAGAGGAGAGUGGAAUUCCUGGUGUAGCGGUGAAAUGCGCAGAUAUCAGGAAGAACACCCGUGGCUAAGGCGGCUCUCUAGUACGGUACUGACGCUGAGACGCGAAAGCGUGGGGAGCGAACAGG
rnacentral:rRNA from 1 species